UACGUAGGGGGCAAGCGUUGUCCGGAAUCAUUGGGCGUAAAGAGCGUGUAGGCGGCCAAUUAAGUCCUGCGUGAAAUCUCGGGGCUCAACCCCGAGCGGUCGUGGGAAACUGGUUGGCUAGAGUGCGGGAGAGAAGAGUGGAAUUCCUGGUGUAGCGGUGAAAUGCGCAGAUAUCAGGAAGAACACCCGUGGCGAAGGCGGCUCUCUGGAACGCAACUGACGCUGAGACGCGAAAGCGUGGGGAGCGAACAGG
rnacentral:rRNA from 1 species